GGGCGAUUGGCGCAGUUGGCUAGCGCGCUUCCCUUACAAGGAAGAGGUCGCAGGUUCGAACCCUGCAUCGCCCA
rnacentral:tRNA from 1 species